AGUUACUCUGGCUGGUGGGGAAGGGGGACUGAGAGCCAUACCAAGGCAACCUGAAUCCUGCCAGACCUCCUACUGGAGGCCAGGCUUGACAUCUUCCAUCCAGCUGCUCCAGGUCAUUUCUGAGGCAUGGCUACUAGGAAGUGCCAACAGAUGGAGUGAGGCCUCAUGGGCACAGAGGGGGGACAGAGUUAUGCUACAGUGACACUGGCCUUUGCACAGCUAUGCACCUGAACCUUACAUCAUGCUGAUGCCUAAACCAUUCUCUUACCUCUUUUAUUUCCAACAGUCAGGCCCUGACUCCAUCCUCUCCCAGUACGGCAGCUGUUGGUGGACAUGCCUCUAAAGAAAGCACUAGCAACAACUGCUAAUUUACUGACGAGUCACAACAGCAAAAUUUUCUCCUGGCCUGAAUCUUCUCAAAACAGCAAAUGAAGAGAUUGUUCAUGAUGCUUGUGCUGUAGGAAAGUAAAAAAGGGAAAAGGAGCCUCACACAGCAUUUGCCUCCUGCUGCCAGACUCGGAAGCAAGACGCCGGAACCACUGAGUUGUACCUGAGUCUCCCAUGUGUAUUACUUAGGUCAAAUGUGUUACACAAAGGAGCAAUUCCAUAUUCAGGAGGCAGAAGGUGGUCCUGCUCCUGGCACUUGGGAAUCCCGAUUAUCCAAGAAAGCUGCACUUACGUAUCUUCUAUCAGAAAUAAGUUCCACAGUCAAGAAAGAGGUGAAGGGAAAAGGCAGAAGGUGACAAGGGAAGCAGCAGAGUACUGGAGUGGUAACUACUAAUUGUAUGGGGGGACAGGGGAGUUAAAGAGCAAUUCACUGAAGAGGAUGAGGACUGUGAAAGGCAGCAGCAAAACUGAUGGUGGGAGAGGAGUUUGGAGGGGAAGCAGCAUAGCUGUUUGAAUAAUGAAUUGUUAAUUUGCAAUUAUGCUCAUCUUCACUGCAGUCUCGUAACACAGGUCUUUGUGGCAAGCAGAAUACCGAUAUGUAGCUACAAACACCUGCACAGGCCCAAUACCUACCAGCCCCAUGCCUAUUAACUCAGUUAAACAGACAUUAAAUAGGAAAAAUGGCGAGGUCCCCCAUUUAAUUCAGGACAGGACAGCAUAUUGGUAAGAAACAGAGUGUCCCAGCUUCCAGCUAGUAGGAUUCCAAUUAGGGUGCUGUCUCUGGACCCUUUUCUAGAUGUUAAGUCUAGAACCCUCUUCACUUCCCAGCACUGGGAGGAAGGGCAAAGCCACCUCCCUGUUUCUUCCCAAACUCAACUUUUAGAUUCUUUUCUCCUAAGUUUGCUGUUUCUUUGGAAAAUACUGAGCAUCUUCAGAAACACAGAUGCAGUGUUUAGUUCCUGCUGGGAGAGGGGAAAGGAGUCUCCUUUCCUUAGCCUCUUCCGCUACUGCUCAGCAAGAGCCUUCAGAAGGAGCAGAAUGAAACUGACAAGCUUGUAACGGAGCAUCCUGGUAGCUGUUCAGAAAACCGUCAGGCAGCAGUGACACUGUGAGGACACUGGGAGUCAGGAUGCCCACGUUCUGCUCUAAGUUCUCCACAGACUCCCUUCUAGAACAGGAGCCUGGGGGUCUGAAUCUUUUUGUCCUGCACCAGGUGCAGUCGUUUACACCAGUGUAAAGUGAAUAUAAAAUGAUGCUAUUCUGAUUUGUGACAUUUUACACCAAUGCAACACACAAUCAGGCCUUAGAAGGCAGGAUUCUGUUCCCAACUCUAAUAGGAGGAUGGAGUGCCUGGUGCUUUGCUUUAGUCUCUCCUGCUGAGCACAUGACAAGGAAAUUAUUUUAUUUUCCAGAGAGAAAGUGAGACCAACUUGUGGUUUGCGCGCGCGCACACACCCACACUCACCCCCUCACACGGCAAUUUAAAUAUAUUUCUGCGUAAAGGAAAAGCUCAUCACCUUUACUUAUAUUAUUCAUCCUUGCAAUUGGUGAAUGCUGAUAUGUUGAAAACAAAUGUGUGGUUCUAAAAACAAUUUAUUGUGAUUUCUCCUUUUCAGUAUGAAUAGCUUAGGCUAAUAUUUUCAAAGGGGCUGUGAGGAGCUAAACACCCAACUCUCAUGUCUAAAAAUCCCAGCCUCAGUCUGCAAAGAGCAUUAGAAUAGCAAACAACAAUGGACUAAUAAUCCUUUAGUAGGGAGUAUGGCAGGGAAAAGGCUAUACUAAUACUGCAUGCUUUCUC